rnacentral:rRNA from 1 species
GAUGAACGCUGGCGGCGUGCCUAAUACAUGCAAGUCGAACGCAUAGCGAAAGCUUUUUGCACCUUUCAAGUUGGUGGCCAACGGGUGAGCACCACGUUGACCACCUGCCUCAAGGCUGGGGAUAUCAUGUGGAUACAGAUGCUAACACCGAAUAAAACCUAGUGUCUCAUGACCCAAAGUUAAAAGGCGCUUCGGCGUCGCCUAUAGAUGGAUCCGCGGUUCGUUAGUUAGUUGGUGGGGUAGAGGCCUACCAAGGCAUGGAUGGGGAGCCGAGUUGAGAGGGUGACCGGCGAGAUGGGGACUGAGAGACGGACCAGAGUGCUACGGGAGGCAGCGGUGGGGAAUAUUGCACAAUGGGCGGAAGCCUGAUGCAGCAACGCCGGGUGCGGGAUGACGGCCUUCGGGUUGUAAACCGCUUUCGCCUGUGACGAAGCGUGAGUGACGGUAAUGGGUAAAGAAGCACCGGCUAACUACGUG